CAACAAACCCACAAUACACACAUAUAACCCUCUGCCUUACCCUCUCUCUCUCUCUCUCCAUAACAUACACAAACAAACAAUAUACACAAACACCUUACCCCUUUCCCCUCUCCACUCGUUUGUGAAUCAGCCGACAACACCCACCCCCCCCCCACUUCUCUUCUCUGAUCUCCCCCUAAAUCGGCGACCGAAUGGAGGAGGCGCCGCCGCUCACGGCAGCGGUGGUGGCACACGGUGGCUGAAGCAGAUCGAAGAAAUAUGAGAGAGAGAGGGAGAAGGGAGGAGAGGAGAGAGAGAGAGGAGAACCGGUAGAUGGCGACGAACCGCCGUGUGCGGCGAAGCCGCGGCGGCGCUGAUGGUGGUUGAUUGACGACGGAGCCACGGUGGUGGUUGCACGAUGUUCUGUUGACGUGAAGACAUAGAGGUGAUGACGGCUGACCGGCGUUCGAACCGCCACACACGGCGGAAUGGCGGUGGUCCUCUCAGUCCGACAAGUUCACGAUAGAGUUGAUUGGUGUUGCUGUUGAUGAUGAUUCGGCGGUGGUGGUGGUGGUCGACGACUGCUCGGGGCGGUCGGAGCCACACCGACACCGGAGACACCAGGUGGUGGUGAUGAUUAUGGCAGUCUGAAUUUUUGUUCAGAUUUGAUGCAAGAUCGGGUGCACAUUGGGUCGGUUGGAUCUCGGUCAGGCACGGGUGGUUCGGUUCAGUCAAGUCGGGUCACGGUCCACUAGGUCAGAUUUGGCAUCGGUCUCAAGGCGUGGUACGAGUCAACUCAGAUGCGUUUCGGGUCAAACCCGGUUGACUCGGUCAACACCCGAGUCAACUCGGGUCAACAAAAGUCAACAGAAGUCAAGGAUGGUCAACUCAAAGACCAGGUAAAGAUUUAAACGCGCGAAAGUUUUGUUUAUAUUGUUCGACACUUUAUAGUUACGCGAACCGAGCUCGAACCAUCGUUAUACGUUUAAUGAUUUAUUUAUGUUUAGUCAUUUUAACAAAACUAUAUAUUGUCAAUUACAAAGCA